UACGUAGGGUGCGAGCGUUAAUCGGGAAUUACUGGGCGUAAAGCGUGCGCAGGCGGUGAUGUAAGACAGAUGUGAAAUCCCCGGGCUCAACCUGGGACCUGCAUUUGUGACUGGCAUCGCUAGAGUACGGCAGAGGGGAUGGAAUCCGCGUGUAGCAGUGAAAUGCGUAGAUAUGCGGAGGAACACCGAUGGCGGAAGGCAAUCCCUGGGCCUGCACUGACGCUCAGUGCACGAAAGGCGUGGGGAGCAAACAGG
rnacentral:rRNA from 1 species